GUCCUGACACUCGCUGAAGUGGGGUGUAAAUGAAGAAACUUCAAACAGUUUUAUAGUUGAAAACUUUAUGAAAUUAUACAAAAAUUUUCCUACUUUCUAUCGUUUUUUGGCCACGUGAUUGGAAUGUGGAAGUUAUUAGGCGAUAGUUUGCCGUGUUCCUGUGGUGGAUUAAUUGCGCCUUACCUGAGGCGCGGCAAGGGUGAUGCCACUGAAAGAGUUCCUCGACGCUGAUCGAUCGACGAGCGCAGAUUGAAAGGAGAGACGUGAAAGAUCUCGGAGCCGAAGUCGCAGCAUCUCCUGGAAGCAAAGAAAGAAAAAAAGUCGUCAAUAUACAAAACAAUAAAGCAACACCAUUUAAGUGAAAACAAGGGAAGGGUAAAUAAAACCUAUAGGCAGAACGCAUUAAGGUAUUCGGGCAAGACGCCAUUGUUGUCAUAUCGUGGAUAAACUAUGACAUUAAUCAAUGGAAGACAACAAUAGUACCGCUCACCUCAAACCGAACUCAUCUACCCAGCGUACCUUGAACCUCCUCUUCUUAAUACGGUGUACUGAGUUCUAUUACUCUAGCAGGUCUUAAUAUUUUGGUUGAGCAUAUCGAGUGAAUAUAUCUACAUAAUGUGGGCAACAACACAACACUAGAUAACGGUUAUUGUGACGACAAUUCGAUUCUACCCACGUGGUUACUGGAAGAUUAGAAUUAGUAUAAAUCCUUAUGUACUCGAUAUGU